rnacentral:rRNA from 1 species
GAUGAACGCUGGCGGCGUGCCUAAUACAUGCAAGUCGAGCGAACAGACGAGGAGCUUGCUCCUCUGACGUUAGCGGCGGACGGGUGAGUAACACGUGGAUAACCUACCUAUAAGACUGGGAUAACUUCGGGAAACCGGAGCUAAUACCGGAUAAUAUAUUGAACCGCAUGGUUCAAUAGUGAAAGACGGUUUUGCUGUCACUUAUAGAUGGAUCCGCGCCGCAUUAGCUAGUUGGUAAGGUAACGGCUUACCAAGGCAACGAUGCGUAGCCGACCUGAGAGGGUGAUCGGCCACACUGGAACUGAGACACGGUCCUGACUCCUACGGGAGGCAGCAGUAGGGAAUCUUCCGCAAUGGGCGAAAGCCUGACGGAGCAACGCCGCGUGAGUGAUGAAGGUCUUCGGAUCGUAAAACUCUGUUAUUAGGGAAGAACAAAUGUGUAAGUAACUAUGCACGUCUUGACGGUACCUAAUCAGAAAGCCACGGCUAACUACGU